rnacentral:lncRNA from 1 species
UUCAGUGAGCGGAUAAAUUUUUUUCCUGCUUUUUCAGCCCUCCAGAGACUGAUAUUCUAUCAUUAUAUAUGCAACAAGUAGAUUUUGGUGCUUAAGUCACUAAAUGGAGUACAAAAUAGAUCGUUUAAGUAUCCAGAUUAAGAAUUGUGUACAAGUAAAAAGUUUCAGCAUGUUGCAUUAAAGGGGUUAGAGUCCUCAAUUUACAGAUUUCUCUUCCAUCUAGGGUCCAUUUUCUAAUAAGAUGACAAUUAAUAAACUAUUCAGUAUUUGAUUAGGAGGUUAGGCAAUUUGAGUAAAGAGCAUUGUUUAGCUAAGCUUAAAAAGUUCACCUAUAAAAAAAGUAAAUAUGAAAACAAAUAAUUCUUUAUUAGUGAAAUUAAGUUACUUGUUUCAAAAGUAACACACUUGUUACUUUAGAAGUAACUUUGUUAACGUAAAAGCAAGAAAAUAGUAAGUUAAGCAAACAUGUUUUGAGACAAAAGGUUACUUAAAAAUUACUUUACUUUUCUUUUUAUCUUAGCCAAACAUGCUCUCAGCCUUGUAUACUCCUACUUCGUUGUGUUCCUUGAAUGGAUUAAGGGGCCAGAGGAGUGGGCUGGGCAUGGGCGGCAUCUCAAGAAAUGUCAUAAAUUGAUUCUUAAGAUUCAUGGACAUACUAAUAGUAUAGGCUUAGAACCAAGUGAUUAUAUGUAUGGGUGAUGGAUUACGUCCAUAAAAAAAUUUAUUAAUUAAAGACUGUAUCCCAAAGAAUGUCAAUAACUACAAAAGUGCAAACACCAUUCUAGUUUUUCAAUACAUUAUUACAAGCAUUUGGAUAGGAAUAUCUUAAAAUCAACUUGUAAUAAGGAAAUGAUGUGCAAUGUGCUUAUAAAGCCACAAGGUGGAUGUUCCACGAGCACUGUGGGAUUCAGAAGUGUUCCUUCUUAUUUACACCUCUUCCACAACAUCCCAUUUUUCUAUCUCAGAGAACUCCACAGAACUAGUGUAUUAUUGAAAGUAGGUCUCUCUCAGUCACAUCAUCCGCUACAUGUGUUUCUCAGAAAAGGGUUUCAUGCUCUGGUACCACAAUUAGAAGCACUUGUCCACGAGUGAUAUGUGAUCCAUAUUUAAUCGUUUCACCCAUAUAUUCAAAAUAAUUCAAGUGUGAAGGAUGCCAAUUUUACAACAUAAGCCUAUUUAACACAAGAACAUCACAUAACUAAUGCACCCAUGUGUACAAUAGCUAAUUUAGUGUAAGAAUCUCCAAUAUUGACGAACCAACAUAAGCAAACACAACGACAGACAAACACAUAUGCAUGUAACUUUGUAUGUAAAAUCACGUUUGUAUAUGCAUGUAGGGCUUACCAGGAGGAAAUAGCAGGUUUGGGAGAAAAUACAGUAAGGGCGAGGCACUUGUGUUGGGAUCGGAUCUGGUUAUCUCUGAGUUGCUCUACGAGUUUCGACCGGGUUAUCAUGUUCUUCUCUCAAUACGGAUUGGAAUCCUGUCCAAACUUUUAAUGCCACCACGAUUCGUAGGUCAAUUCCAAAUUGAACUGUGCUUAAUGUGGAAUAGAUAUUCGAAUUCCAGCUUCAAUUUGGCGAGUUUAUUUCGAAUUGAAUUGAGGGUUCACGGAAAAAGACUAUUGAGAUCAAUGAAAAUGCAUUGCCCAGGCUGUUGAAAUCACUACGCUGAAAUUGAAAGAGGGUAAAUCGGUUUAUAUAUAUAUAUNAGAUCAAUGAAAAUGCAUUGCCCAGGCUGUUGAAAUCACUACGCUGAAAUUGAAAGAGGGUAAAU